AGCUCCAAUAGUGUAUAUUUAAGUUGCUGCAGUUAAAAAGCUCGUAGUUGGAUAUAUGUAGACGAUAUAGAUUAUUAAAAUAUUUUUAUUUCGAUAAUUCAUAUUGUCUUUUAUUAUAAACUACAUUACUAUAGCGUGUGUAUAGUUUUAUAUAUCUCGCUAUAAGACAUGUGUGGUUUUGUUACUGUGAGUAAAUUAAAUGUUCAAAGUAGGCGGUCGCUAUGAAUAUAUUAGCAUGGAAUAACAUUAUAGUACUUUAAUCUAUUUUUUGCUUUGGCCUGUAAAGAUUGGAGUAACGAUUAAUAGGGACAGUUGGGGGCAUUCGUAUUUCAUUGUCAGAGGUGAAAUUCUUGGAUUGAUGAAAGACGAACUACUGCGAAGGCAUUUGUCAAGGAUGUUUUCAUUA
rnacentral:rRNA from 1 species